rnacentral:rRNA from 1 species
AUACGUAGGCAGCAAGCGUUGUUCGGAAUUACUGGGCGUAAAGCGAGUGUAGGCGGCCUGCCGUGUCCGUUGUGAAAUCUCCCGGCUUAACUGGGAGGGUGCGGCGGAAACUGGCAGGCUCGAGUACGGAAGAGGAGAGUGGAAUUCCUGGUGUAGCGGUGAAAUGCGUAGAUAUCAGGAGGAACACCGGCGGUGAAGACGGCUCUCUGGACCGUGACUGACGCUGAGACUCGAAAGCGUGGGGAGCAAACAGGAUUAGAUACCCGAGUAGUCC